rnacentral:rRNA from 1 species
AUGCCUGAGCUUCAGGAGCUGUGUGGGGGCUCGGUUCUGCCUCUGUCCGUCGAACAACCGAAGGUAGACCCUCCUGAGAUCUCAAUUGUGGCUUUGUCGCCAGCAUCACCCCUGGAGUCUAGCCAGAUACUUGAUGCUGAGGAGUGUGGUGAUUUGGAUGCUUCAAUCUCUCGAUCUCCUAAGUCCAUUGGGUGUCAGGCGUCAACCAGUCUACCCUUUGGUGUCAUGGAGCACGGAGUUUUGGAUGUUGCUGAUGUUCCCUCGUUUGCAACCAUGGAGCAGGUGAUGCCUGUGAGUGACAUGACCAUUGAGCCAAGUGUGUUGGCACCUACUCCAAAUCUAGAUGCUCUCUUUGCGAAGGAACUUUGUGACUUACUCGCCAGUGUGGAGGUUGGUAGACCUGGUUUGGGUAGGUCGAUUGCUUGCCCCUUGACGGGGACACCAAAAAGGGCCAAACAAAAGAAGGUGGGCAAAGGAAAGAGUGGCGUCAUGGGCAAGGCGUCUCUCUCUCGCUGCUUGAUGGAUGCCAUUCGAUCUCUCGGCCUAUCCGUUUUGAUUGGGUUGUUAUUGUGGGUUGGGAGGUGCCUGAUGUCUUGUGUCGAGUUGUUUUUGUCGGGGGUCUCUUGGCGUAGUAGCAAUGUCGGGGUUUGUGGAUGUUGUGUAUUCAGAAAGCCUGGGAGGGACCGCAUGUGCUGUUGUGGGGUUUCUUGCCAUGUGAGGAGUUAG